AUGGAUAGCACCGCAAAUUCUUCUACAAAUCCUGGUAUCCAUUCAGUCCAACGCGGUCGUGGGCGCCCCCGUCGUUAAUCACAACCAGUUGUCAUACCUGAAAUAAACCGAUCUGCUGCUUCCAAUAACCGCCGCCGGCAUACAGAACUUAGAAAUAGAGCAAAAACAUCUACAGAUGAACGUUCAGUACGCCGACGAUUAACCGGAGAGUCCUCUACGUCAGCUUCCCAAACACAAAAUUUGGCAUUAAUCCAUAAUCGAACUAUCUUUCAACCCUUAAACCUUGGGGGGCCCACACAUUCAUGCAAACAUUGUCGUUCUUUGUUUUGGUAUGAAGAGCGUAUCCGCAGAGAGAGACAUACUUCUGAUCCAACAUAUAAUUUGUGUUGUAAAGGAGGGAAAAUCUUGCUGAAACCAUAUGAUCCUCCUCCUCAGCCUCUAUUGGAUUUAUUAACCUCACAGAACACUACAACUUCGAACCACUUUUUUGAUCAUAUCAGGCAGUAUAAUACCAUGUUUGCGAUGACUUCAAUGGGUGCUAAAGUUAUUGAAUCCAUAAAUGAUGGCCGAGCACCCUAUGUUUUCAAGAUUAGUGGUCAAGUCUGCCAUCGUAUCGGUUCUCUAAUGCGACCUGAGAAUCGUCGACCAGAAUAUGCACAAUUGUAUAUCUAUGAUACAGAGCAUGAGGUUAGAAACCGCAUAAAUAUUACUGCAUCUUCUCGCCCUUCAUCAUCUCGGUCUUCAUCUACCCGCCCUUCUUUCAAUGCUAAUCAAGAUACUGUCCAGUCCCUUAUAUCGAUGCUUAACACCCAUAAUCCCAUAGUGAAACUAUUUAGAACAGCACGGGAAAGAUUGACCGCAGAUGCUCCUGAUCAGUUCUUUGUCAGAUUAUAUGGCAAACUUGACGCACAUGGAGACAUCUAUAGUGCUCCGGUCGCAUCUGAGGUUGUAGGGUUGGUUGUUGGUGAUAUUGGGUCAACUGAUGUUGGGCGGGACAUUAUAAUAGAUAACCGUUCAUCAGGUUUACAAAAAAUCAAUGAAAAACAUUGCAAGUUUAUGGCUAUGCAGUAUCCUCUAUUAUUUCCAUAUGGAGAGGAUGGUUACCAUGAUGACCUCAUGUACCGCACCUCGCCACAAAGUCAAGCUAUAAGCCGUCAGAAAGUAACUAUGCUAGAGUACUAUGCAUAUAGACUACAUGAUAGACCAGGUGAUUUCAACACGCCAUUGAGAGCUAAAAGAUAGACACAAGCUUAUGAAGUGGAUGGUUAUUGUUGUGUUGAAGAAUUUCGUAUUGCAUUCUAUCGCAAGCCCGGAUUUAAGAAAAAAUAUAGAUCAUCACCAUAUAAUGACUUGGCCAAUUUUGUCUCAAGAGGUAAUACAUUCGGUUCUUCAGUUGGUCAAAGGAUUAUAUUGCCAUCUUCAUUCACCGGAGGCCCGCGAUAUAUGUACCAAAAUUAUCAAGAUUCGAUCGCUAUAUGUAGGAAAUAUGGCUGCCCAGAUCUCUUUGUCACAUUCACUUCAAAUGCAGCUUUGCCUGAGAUAGUAGAGUCUCUAUCAUCCAUUCCAGGGCAACAACCUUCUGACCGUCCAGAUAUUGUCAAUAGGGUAUUCAAAAUGAAGCUAAAUAUGCUAAUGGAUGAUAUUAAAAAGAAAAAAUUCUUUGGACCAACGAAUGCAGGUAAUUUGUCUCCCCACAUCAUUAAUUGA
rnacentral:rRNA from 1 species